rnacentral:rRNA from 1 species
CGCAUGAAGCAGUGUGAAAAACUCCGGUGGUAUACGAUGGAUCCGCGUCUGAUUAGCUGGUUGGCGGGGUAACAGCCCACCAAGGCGACGAUCAGUAGCCGGCCUGAGAGGGUGAACGGCCACAUUGGGACUGAGACACGGCCCAAACUCCUACGGGAGGCAGCAGUGGGGAAUAUUGCACAAUGGGGGAAACCCUGAUGCAGCGACGCCGCGUGAGUGAAGAAGUAUUUCGGUAUGUAAAGCUCUAUCAGCAGGGAAGAAAAUGACGGUACCUGACUAAGAAGCCCCGGCUAACUACGUGCCAGCAGCCGCGGUAAUACGUAGGGGGCAAGCGUUAUCCGGAUUUACUGGGUGUAAAGGGAGCGUAGACGGCAGCGCAAGUCUGAAGUGAAAUCCCAUGGCUUAACCAUGGAACUGCUUUGGAAACUGUGCAGCUGGAGUGCAGGAGAGGUAAGCGGAAUUCCUAGUGUAGCGGUGAAAUGCGUAGAUAUUAGGAGGAACACCAGUGGCGAAGGCGGCUUACUGGACUGUAACUGACGUUGAGGCUCGAAAGCGUGGGGAGCAAACAGGAUUAGAUACCCUGGUAGUCCACGCCGUAAACGAUGAUUACUAGGUGUUGGGGGACCAAGGUCCUUCGGUGCCGGCGCAAACGC